AGUGAACGCUGGCGGUAGGCCUAACACAUGCAAGUCGAACGGCAGCACAGUAAGAGCUUGCUCUUACGGGUGGCGAGUGGCGGACGGGUGAGGAAUACAUCGGAAUCUACUCUUUCGUGGGGGAUAACGUAGGGAAACUUACGCUAAUGCCGCAUACGACCUACGGGUGAAAGCAGGGGAUCUUCGGACCUUGCGCGAUUGAAUGAGCCGGUGUCGGAUUAGCUAGUUGGCGGGGUAAAGGCCCACCAAGGCGACGAUCCGUAGCUGGUCUGAGAGGAUGGUCAGCCACACAGGAACUGAGACACGGUACAGACUCCUACGGGAGGCAGCAGUGGGGAAUGUUGGACAAUGGGCGCAAGCCUGAUCCAGCCAUACCGCGUGGGUGAAGAAGGCCUUCGGGUUGUAAAGCCCUUUUGUUGGGAAAGAAAAGCAGCAGGUGAAUACCCCGCUGUUCUGACGGUACCCAAAGAAUAAGCACCGGCUAACUUCGU
rnacentral:rRNA from 1 species